CCAUGCCUAUAUCAUAAAGAGUGUAAAGUGCAUUGUGUCAUAGUAUAAGUGUGAUGCUCAUGACAUUUUAUGCACUUAUGAAAGUAUGUUAUAAAUAUCUCAAGCAUUUACCCUUAAGGAUUUCAAGGAGACUUAAGGACCAUCCACCUUUGGAACAAAAGGCAGCUUAUCCUCGUUACAAGGUUAAGCUUUAAGCUCCUUGACAAUAAAAUUACUUCACCCAGUUUAAACAAAGAUGUAAAAAUGAAUGUUUGAGAAGUUAAACUAGGUAUGAAGCAG
rnacentral:lncRNA from 1 species